GCGCCGGCCAGCCUCGCCAGCGCCGCCUCCAGCUCCCGCCGCAGCCGCUCCUCCCGCGCCGCCGCCUCCGCCACCGCCUUCUCCAGCUCGCCGUUCCUCCGCCGCAGCACCUCCUCCGCCUCCUUGGCGUCCAUGGCGGUGGCGGUGGUGGUCGCGGCGGACACCUUACCCCACAUCCUCGUUGAUCAAGCCAGCGUGCGUGGCGCGUGUCACGAUGUUAACGAGGUAGGUUGAAGAAGCUGACCGUGAAGUACGUCGUGGCGUAUUAUUUUGGUCUGGUUCUAAUGUGUUGGUCUCCUUAGGGUUUAUAUAGUAGGGGAAGGAUUCAACUGGUGAACUUUUGUAAUUUCCCCCCGUUGAAAACUUUUUCUUGACAAAUUAACUACCGGCAAAACCUUUUCAAAAAAUAGACGAAUUCGUAAUACUUGGUGUAUAUUGCUUCUGUUCCAUAUUGUAAGAUUUUCUGAUUUUGCUUGGAUUCAUAUAUGUACUAAUAUGUCUAGACAUAUAUAUAGAAAACAUAUGAUUUAAUUGGAGUUGGAACUGUGAGCUAACCAGAGACCUUCCUACCCUCACGAUUCGGUUGGACCAUUUGGUUGCACUGCAGCUUCACUGAACUAGGAUACAAGAGCUAGAGCACUACCAAAUACUACCUCCUUUUCAUAGUAUAAAACUUUCUAGCGUUGUCUAAAUUUAUUUAUUGAUAAAUAUAUAUAAUUUAUAUAUGUGUCUAGAUUUAUUAGCAUCCAUAUGAAUCUAAGCAAUGCUAGAAAGUCUUAAAUUACGAAACGGAGAGAGUACCAAACUUGGUAUUAGGAUCUAGUGUGUAGUGUGUGUAUACUAUCACAAGUGAUGCUUUGUGGAGCCUUAGAAGCUCUAUGGAGCAUCUUACGUCUUAAACUACUCCAUAUGUUACAUAUUAUAAUACCUUUUAAUCUUUUUUAAUUUUUAUCAAAUACAUAUAUAUUAAUUUAUUAGCAUAUCGCCCAUGCGUUACAACGGAAUUUUAUUAAAAAUAUCAUUAACAUGUUAAUAAGUAGAGUUAAUAAAAAUGGUUUGAUAUAUAGAUCUUAAUUAUUUUUUCUUUUAAAAGAUGGGAGGGAGUUGGUGGUGAGGUAGGUGGCAGAUUCACCACCACCCACCACCACUACUCAUCUUUAUAGUAGUAUAGAUGAAUGAAUCUAGACAUAACUAGAAAGUCUUAUACAAAUGAAUCUAGACACACAUAUAUGUAUCCUCAAAUCCGAGUCUAGUUAUACUGUAAUACUACAGAGAACCACUGUUCAUAUGAGUUGAACGGUAAAUAAAUGUCUUGAACAGUGACAAAAUUCUAUAGCAGCAACACAUCUAAAAUAAGGUUAACUACCAUAGUAAAUAUUGUAGAGCUAAAUCUCUACCAUCUGUUUUGAUCAAAUGGUUACGAAAUAUGUCAAAUUUGUACUAUUGUAGUUCUCUGUAAUAACAUGAUGCUACUGCAGAGGAUUUUAUUCCCCUCAUAUCCCACAAUACAGUGAUAGGAACAUAUCACAGUGCUGUGCCAAUUUUUCGAAAGAUCCUCGCAACUUUUAGAAAGGUUUUGAAAGGUCCGUUUUCAAAAGUAGUGUCCAGUGGUUCAUUUACAAAAAAAUGAUUUGCGGAAGGGCUAAGUUGCGAAAAUUACUCAUGCAGCGUUGAGGCUGUGAAGGACGCCGAGAAGGCGUCUAGGUUCAAUGAACCGGUCCGGCAAUCCAGAGGUGUCGGUGUAAGCGGCAUUUUCAAAAGCUUACAUACAAGCUGAUGCCAUAGUUCCAUCCAUCGCUGCAAGACCUUGCCGGUACGUCUCUCCCUCUCCUAAUGUCUUCCUCCUGAUUCAUUUGGAGAGAUGAAUCGGUGAAUGUGACUGGAUAGAUACUACUACUCCCUAUAUUCCAUGAAGUAAGACUUUUAGAUUCAUAUUAAUGCUAAUGAAUCUAUAUAUAUAUAUAUAUUACAUAUAUUUAUCAAUUGAUAAAUUUAGAUAAAACUAAAAAGUCUUACAAUAUGAAAACAGAGAUAGUACCAGUUAUCCAAGAGUAUGGAUCAUGGAGAUUUUACCACACCAAAGAAAAAUGUGAUAACAUGGUCUUCUUUUUUUAAAAAAAUAACUCCAUUGAAACAGUAAAAGAACCGUGAUAUUUUGCUCAUGCAGUACACACAGUCUACUCAUUCGUUACUUUUUGAGUUUAUAUGUAUUCAUCCAUAUAUCAGAUAUAUGUAUAUAUUUUUAUAUGUGUUUAGAUUUAUUAACACACAUAAAUAUAAGUAAAAUCAGAAAGUCUAUUAAACAGAGGAAACAUUUCUUUUCAAAGAAUAGACAAAAGAUUUGCACACGUAGAAAGAUGAUACAACAUGACGGAAAAAAAUUAUCUGGAGCAGAGCACCACUCCUCACCAUGGGUAGAUCGUAGGUUGUCGUGUAUACCCCCACAACCUACCCUCUGUCCCUACCAAUUAUCACACUGAAAGCAGCUGCAAAGCCCCUAUGUCCCUAUCCAUUAUCACAUUUUUUUCUGGUAAGAAUCCAUUAUCACAUUGAAAGCAGCUGCAAAGCAAACGUCCUCAUGUCUCUCUAUUUUCUUCAUACGAAUUACUCGUUCUCUAAUCCUCUGCUUGCUGGGAUUCGAAUUUCCAAAAAAUGAAUUUACAUAUGAUUUUGAAGCUUUUAAUUGUACUAUACUUUUGUAUUAUAUUUUAAAUAACAAAUAAUACAUGUAUAAAUGUUUUGUCUAUAACCCUAGAUCGGCGUUGAUCAACGAAAACAAUACUUUAGGGUCUCUCUGAACGAGUUCUUUUUUGAGCCACCCUUACUGGUUGGAUCGUACGGUACCAAUGGAGUUUGAUGUUCUGAAUUUGGCUGCGUGCGUGAUGCUGAUAAGUAUAAGGAGAGCAAGCGAAAGGCACAUGCUGCUGCCUACUGGUACUUGUACUACGACAGUCGACAAGAUUUCACCAUUUCUUUGACGGUGAGGUGCUCACCAAUAAUCGGUUAUCGGUCCUUAAAAUAUAGGAACAAAAGUCUUGUUAUAGAAAAGUGUAAGUUUAUGAAAAAAAAAAAAGAUAGUAGUAUUCCUUCGUAGUUGUUAAACUGAGAUCACCUGCAGCCACGGUUUUGUUUAUCGUUUCAUAAGCCGAAACUGUGCGCUGGUGAUAUCGGUAAUAAUCAUGAUAAUAGUAAAACACUGUAUAAAUUUGAAUUUAAUUUUUUUGAAUAAAAUCUUUGUGGUUUUGAGGGUCCAACCGCGUGGUAGGGAGCGAUUGGGACAUGAUCUCUAUGUUUCAUGAGUCACCCAUGGUGACGUAUUAUUUGGGUUCCUACAUCUCAAGACAUGCAAAGUGUACCAACGUGGCAUGUGGUUUUAACCCACCAUGUCGAAGCCGUUGUGCUAAGUGAACAUGGACCGUGCCCGUGUAAAGGCAUGCGCGCCCUGUAGAGGCCAGUGGGCUUGUUAUACCGAGCCUUUCUAUAGGCUUAGGAAGCAAGAGGGAUGAGAGGAAGGUGUCGAUGUAGACCUAGGGAAGAGGCCCUAAUGAUUAAGUUGUUGCACCGAUGAGUUCCAUGAGGACGAUGUCGCCACCUUUACCGAACUCCAGAGAGAGUCUCCUAAGCCAGAAGCUCACUGGAAUCGCCUUCGAUUCUUCCCGUUGCGGAGGUUGGCCCGCACUGAGCUAGCUCUCUCGUCCGCCAAGUUGGCCACCUCUGAGCUCACCAGCCAAGGUUGACCUCUUGAGUUUGCUGCCUCCGAGCUCGUUGGUUAGACUUUGGUUAGAUUUGGCAACCCACGGCCAGUUAUGUCAGCUAGGGAGGGGGAAAUGAGGGGUGCUGACAAGGUGAGUUGAGGGGGGAGGUUGGGUUGUGUGAUGAGGAAGGAGAUGAGGGAGCUGGUGGAGGUGAAGAAGGCAGCGGCGUAACACAAAGGAAAGGAGAUGGCAAUACAUGAUCUUUGGGGUGGAGGGCUGGGGUCACUUUAUUUUUAUUUCUUAUUUUCAAGAUGUACAAUGUAAAAUUUUUGUCUUCUUUAUAAAAUGAGAAAAAUACGAAGACUAUAUUAGAAAUUUAUAGAGAUUGAUACAGAAAAUUAAAUACACUGCUUAAGCCACUUUACAUUGUAAAAAAAGAAAAUGAUAUUAUCCUAUAUGUCAGAUUAUCUCUCCUCACUACUCGAUAAGGAUACAUUUCAUGCCCCCAAAAAAACAUAUCUUGCUUCCUGCCGAAAAUGAUGCUGCCUGCGGCAAUGGGCGGACACCUUUUGUUAGGCUUUUUUAACUGUCUGCUUGCGAUGUCGCUUGUGUUAAAGCUGGCACGUUCUAGGCCAUUCUGGGUUGGAAGAGCUAGAUGUGGCACUGGCUGAGUGUAUCAUAUAGACCAACACCCAUUUCUACUCUUACUUAUAAACCAAAUUUUAAAUUUUUAAUCUUAAAUUUAGAGUUGAUUUUAGGAUUUUUUCGCCGAUGCUUAUUUCUUAGCAUUGACUUUUAGAUCGCUAAGAAUACACAUAUAAAAGUUUUAUUCACAAACUAUUUUUUUCCAAAUAUCUUGUUUGGAUUUUUCUACGGAAGAGCCAAACAAUUACCCCCAAUAGAAUACCUCCCUUAUAGAUUAAAAAUACAUCCCUUCUCUUUUAUAAUACUAGUGGUUUUAAUUUUUAAUACCAACCCUAUGCGCUUUCGAUUUUAAUCCUUGUUUUUUUCUAAUUUAUGUGAAAGUACAAGCUUUUAAGUUGAACACCCUAAAAUCUAUAUAAAAAAAGAGUAUAAAAAGCUCCAUUGCGCAUCUCUGUCUUGCCCUCUCCCUCACUCUUGGCUUCCGCGUCGGUGACCCUCUCUCCUCUCUCUCAUUCGCCACGGUGAGAAGAGGUAGGGUCGUCUAGUAUAAAUGAGUAGUCAUAAAGAUACAAAUAGAAAAAGCUUAGGACAUAACAAUUUACCAUGGUUCAGGCACUUAAGAUAGAUAAUAGCACCGAUCCAAUUUAUAUGGAUCAUAGAUGAUGAAAUCACACCAAAUAUAAUGUAUGAGAAGUGUAUACCUAGCCUAGCAACCAAUCUUGUUAGGAAGUCGGAAGCUAUUUAGUAUUCAUCAUUAAAAACAUAUUUUGGCCAUUCGAGACUAUAUAUUACUCCUUCUAAACAAUUACUGUAGUUUAUUAUCAGACUUGGAUGUUAUAAAUUUUGUACCCUCUACAGUGAAAAUAGACUAUAUAUAAUAUCAUUAUAGGUACUAUGAAUUUAUAGCCUCUGUACACGAAGAAAACUCUGAUCCUUCCUGCUACUUUCUCCGUCGAAGGCCGAUAUCCGAGGGAGUACAUCUUAUUUUUACUAUUUUUCAUGCUGAUAUUGAGCAGGUUGCAUGGCAAAGUCUUGCCAUUCCUUUCUUCUUAUUUUAGCAUAUGGUGCAGUCGUUUUAUGUCGAUUUGUGGGGUAGCCGAGGUCGUAUCUCAUACAGUUUCAUUUGUGUGCCUUCUGGACUUUCUGUGUUCACUAGUUUUGAUUUCAUUUUCGUUAUCUUGUACCUCGGUUACAUACAUCAAUCUAAUAUGUCCCCAAGGGUGAAUACGAUCUCUGAAUUUUCGCUUCAGUGUCAAUUUAGCCCCUAACAUUUCAUAUUAUGCAGAGAAGUCACUAAAGUUUGUUACUUGACAUAUCGUGUUCUUUACCUCUUCUUCCCAAUCUAUAUUCUCUUGUUUCCGCACAUAUGCUAAAUGACGAGUUUUUUGAAAAAAAAUUCUAUAAAAAUGUUAUUUUAAAAUAUUAUAUCGAUCUAAUUUUUUUGUCAUUUUAUAGCUAAUAAUCAAUUACUUAUAAGUUCAUUCAUGAUACAUUUUACGUACCGGUCAUCAACCCCAACUAUCAAACCUUGGCCUUAAUUUAGUCUCAGAGCCUACUAAAACACCACAUAGAGAUGCCACCUCAUCCACAUAUGCAAAUUCAACAUUUAAAUACCCAUUCCACCCUUUCAUUUUUUUCCAUAGGAAAUAAAGAAAAACAAUGGAGAACAAAACAAAUAAUUGGAAUUAGCAAUUGAUAAAAAGAAUAUCACAUUGGUAAUUAAUAAAUUAAAUAUGAAACAUUUUCCAUUUUCUUUUGCUCCCUUUGAUUUGUCCUAUUUUUUCUAUAGCAAUUUUGAGAGUAAAAUGGGCAUUGACUUUACAUGCGCAAAUAGUGUCUCGCACUCACAUGGUGUUUUCAGUGGUUCUAAGGACCAUAUUAAACCAUAUAAAAAUAAUUGGAGACUUGUUUAGACAAAAAUAAACUAGGACUAACAGGACAUCGGACCAAAUUGGCUAUUCCACCUAUCCUAAAUAAUAAAUGUGGAUCAGAUCUGGAAAAUGUGAAUCAGAUCUGGAAGAAUUGAUUGAGAUGGCUGCGUACAAUCGUAAUACUCUACUUCUAAAAGUUUUAAUACACUUAGAUUUAUUAGCACAUAAAUGAAUAUAUGUAAAAACAAAAAGUCUUAUAACGAAUAUUACGUAGGAAUAAUAUGUAGGAGUAGUAUUUGGUUGGUUUCAUGUCGUUGUCUGAAUAUUAUUUUUACUGCUCAUUUUAUUUGCUGCUCUAAGAUUAGAUUAACUCUAGUACCGUUUCUAAUUGGUGGUUGCCCUGAAAGCACGUUACAGAUUAUUUCCAGUUUUUUGGGAAAAAGACGGAUCUUGAUUUGCCCAAAACCAGGCCAAUUAGUGCCAACAACAAGGUCAAUUCAGAAGGCUCAAGUCGCGUUCAAGCUUCAACCUUUAAUCCAAGUCGAGUUUUCUCCCAAUAAAUUAAAGUCGACGAACAGUUCUUGGCCCUGUUUACUCCCGACAAUUACAGCUUUUGGCCUUUGGAAAUCUGAACGAUCAGCAUCGCCUGAUCUCUUUCAUAAUGUACAAUCUCAGGUAAAUUUCUUUCUUUAAUUCACAUAUCCAAACACACAGCAGCUUCUUCAUGCCAUCGAUCGAUCGGAUUAACGCAAAGAAGAAGAAGAAAAAAAGAAACGUACAUGGUUCAGUGAGAGCUGGUCGACGGUCAGUCUGUGCCGGCGGCGAGGGCGCUGCGGCGGUGGCCGGAGGAGCGGAGGACGGCGUCCAUGAGGGCGAGCCGCUCGGAGANNNNNNNNNNNNNNNNNNNNNNNNNNNNNNNNNNNNNNNNNNNNNNNNNNNNNNNNNNNGAGCUGCACGCACAGCCGCUCCUCGGCCUCCUCCGCGACGGCCAGCCUCGCCAGCGCCGCCUCCAGCUCCCGCCGCAGCCGCUCCUCCCUCGCUGCCGCCUCCGCCGCCGCCUUCUCCAGCUCGGCGUUCCGCCUCAUCGCCUCGCUGGCGUCCAUGGCCGCCGCCGUCCUAUCGAUCGUCCUCACAAUACACAAUGUACAGUGUCGCAAGAACGGCCAAGGUUCAAAGCUGCUCCGGGUCUCUUCACAUUUUGGUCUCCUUUUAAAGGCGGGAAAAUGGGUGC
rnacentral:lncRNA from 1 species